rnacentral:rRNA from 1 species
UGGUGGAGUGAUUUGUCUGGUUAAUUCCGAUAACGAACGAGACCUUAACCUGCUAAAUAGUUGCGUUAACUCUGGUUGACGAUCAACUUCUUAGAGGGACUAUGGAUGUUUAAUUCAUGGAAGUUUGAGGCAAUAACA